rnacentral:rRNA from 1 species
GAGUUUGAUCAUGGCUCAGAACGAACGCUGGCGGCGUGGAUUAGGCAUGCAAGUCGAACGCGAAAGAGGGGGCAACCCCUCAAGUAGAGUGGCGAACGGGUGAGUAACGCGUGAAGAACCUGCCUUCGAGAGGGGGAUAACACUCCCAACGGGGUGCUAAUACCGCAUGAGACCACGGGUCCACCUGGACCUGAGGUCAAAGGUGGCCUCUGCUUGCAAGCUACCGCUCGAAGAUGGCUUCGCGUCCCAUUAGCUAGUUGGCGGUGUAAUGGACCACCAAGGCGACGAUGGGUAGCUGGUCUGAGAGGAUGGUCAGCCACACUGGGACUGAGAUACGGCCCAGACUCCUACGGGAGGCAGCAGUCGAGAGGCUUUGGCAAUGGGGGAAACCCUGACCAAGCGACGCCGCGUGGAGGAUGAAGGCCCUUGGGUUGUAAACUCCUUUUGUUGGGGAAGAAAUGCGAUCAGGUGAACAAUCUGGUCGUUUGACGGUACCCAGCGAAUAAGCUCCGGCUAACUCCGUGCCAGCAGCCGCGGUAACACGGGGGGAGCAAGCGUUGUUCGGAAUCACUGGGCGUAAAGGGCGUGUAGGCGGUCAGGUAAGUGGAAUGUGAAAUGCCCCGGCUCACCCGGGGACCGGCAUC